rnacentral:rRNA from 1 species
AACGAACGCUGGCGGCAGGCUUAACACAUGCAAGUCGAGCGCAUCCUUCGGGGUGAGCGGCGGACGGGUGAGUAACGCGUGGGAACGUGCCCUCUUCUACGGAAUAGCCUCGGGAAACUGAGAGUAAUGCCGUAUACGCCCGCAAGGGGAAAGAUUUAUCGGAGGAGGAUCGGCCCGCGUUGGAUUAGGUAGUUGGUGGGGUAACGGCCUACCAAGCCGACGAUCCAUAGCUGGUUUGAGAGGAUGAUCAGCCACACUGGGACUGAGACACGGCCCAGACUCCUACGGGAGGCAGCAGUGGGGAAUCUUGGACAAUGGGGGCAACCCUGAUCCAGCCAUGCCGCGUGAUCGAUGAAGGCCUUAGGGUUGUAAAGAUCUUUCAGCUGGGAAGAUAAUGACGGUACCAGCAGAAGAAGCCCCGGCUAACUCCGUG